ensembl:lncRNA
AUUUGCCAAACGGCAUUUCAAAACACAUUUGACUGUCAUAUCAUUAACAUCCACUCAGUUUCCUUCUGUUUGUGUAUGCAAUUUGCAUUUGAUUUGUACCAUCAAGCUAUAAUUUACGUGGGCCCCACUUUGUGUGUGUGUGUGCAUCAGUGUGUGUUGCAAUAUGAUGCAGACUGCCAUGCGAUGAGUCAGGACAUCAUAAUGACUGUGUGGCAUUGUGAAGAAUGGUCUCCUGCUUUGCAUCCCCCUCCCCCGCCCCGUCAAAACAGCUUCAUUUCGUCUUGUCGCCUAGUUUGGAAGUCGCUUGCUUGGGAGUCAGCUCAGAUUCCCGGCGGGAGUCAACAAAGAGGGACACUCAUGUGGCAUCUGACUGCAUACCUUUGCUCUUUCUUUUUUUUUUUUUCAUUUCACGUUUUUGCUUCUUUUCCCUCUUUUUUUUGUUUUACAGCCGAGUGUAAGAAUGCAAUCAUCGUGGCCGUUUCAGGCAGAGGAAGACAAUUUGGUAGAGGAGAGAGAAGGUGCUGUCUGCGGCAUGUUUAUAGAGAGCUCUGCCAGAUGACGAUGGGGAAAGGAAGGGAGACGAGGACGGAGAGCAGAGAGUGGCAAGAUGUGGGGGGUGGUGCAAGGGAGUGAUAUAUGAAGUAAGGGCAAGACUGAAGGAAAAAGACCAAGGUGAGGGUGGUGGCAUCUCCUCCACAGCAACCCUGACUAUGUCAUUUCCUUCUGGCGCGUGCUGCUGUUGCUAACAGUCUCCCCCCCACUCACCCCUACUCACCAAACACACUCCUCCCGCCCUCAUGCAGUCACACAACUCCCCAUCUACUCUUAUUAGUCUGUAUUCCUUCUCCUCCAUGAUGACAGUUGUCUGCGCUUACGUGUGUGCAUAUUUUUUUUCUUCCUACUUCCAGUUUUCUACUUCAAUUUGUCUUCCACCCCCCCUUUCUAAUAAAGUAAAUGAGGAUGGGAAAUGGUGAGACUCAAGGUGAUAUUUCAGCAAGUCACUCC